GGGCGAGUGGCGGAAUGGCAGACGCAGCGGACUUAAAAUCCGCCGCCCUCAAAGGCGUAUGGGUUCAAGUCCCAUCUCGCCCA
rnacentral:tRNA from 1 species